UACGAAGGGGGCUAGCGUUGCUCGGAAUCACUGGGCGUAAAGGGUGCGUAGGCGGGUUUUAAGUCAGGGUGAAAUCCUGGAGCUCAACCUCAGAAUUGCCUCCGAUACUGGCAGUCUCGAGUGCGGGAGAGGUGAGUGGAAGUUCCCAGUGUAGAGGUGAGAUUCGUAGAUAUUGGGAAGAACACCAGUGGCGAAGGCGGCUCACUGGCCCGUAACUGACGCUGAGGUGCGAAAGCGUGGGAGC
rnacentral:rRNA from 1 species